GCUAUGAACCGUGAUCUACCAUAAUGCUAUCGCUGUCAAGGCACCAAAAAAAUACUGCAACAGACUUCCAGUUUGUGUAUAAUAUAUAGGCAAUUACCCUACAAAAUCAUGUCCACAGCAAGGAAAAAUCGAAAAUCUGAAAUGUAGCAAUUAUCAUAAGAAACAUUUCGCAAAUUAUAAAGGUUGCGCAGUCCAUAAGCAGUUACAAUUGAAACUCUUCCUUACCUUAAGGAAAAGAAUCGAACAAUUUUCUUUGGAAAUAAACAACAAUUAUUCAUCAAAUACCGAGGCAUACAAUUUAAUACAUACACUGAUGAUUAACCAUGUUCAAUCGUUGUACGGGAUUACAAUGCCAAACACAGACACUGGGGCUCCAAAAAAAUAACAUCCAGGGAUAAAAUACUACUUCAAGUCAUAGACAAAUUAUCUUUAAUACUAAUAUUAACUGGUGAACUCACUUACUAGCCACAGGCAAUCAAAAAAUUAUAUAUUCUGCUAUCAUUAAAGGAAUAAAUAGAAUACAGCUAACGUUAUCGUCGAGCUCUGAUUACAUUUCUAUACUGUUAGAAUACAGACAAAAUCUACCAAUAGAAUAUCCGCUUGUACAAUAAUAUCAUUGACUGGAACAGGUUCAGAGUACAAAUUAACAAAAAUCUAAAUUGUAAUAUCCCAUUAAAAAGACCUAUGCUCAUUAAAAACGUAGUAGACUACGCCACUAAUACAAAUAAUACAAAUAAUCCAAGAAACAGCUUAGACACUUCUUUCAUGGGCAAGAGCAUAAUAGGCUUCUUAUAUCCGAAUUACAUAUUACACCAAAAAGGAAAGAAUAAUCGAAAUAGCAUCAGUAUAAAACAGCAGAAAACAAAAUUAAUUUAUCAAAAAAGUUAAAAAAAAUGCUAAAGGAGCAUCACAGUAAAUAAUUCACUCAAUACCUCAAAAAUUUGACACUAAAUGAAAAUUACACACUGUGGAAGGCUGUAAGGAGACUUAAAAAAUUAAUAGUGUAGAUACCAGUAUUAAGAAAACUAAACGGCUUUUGGAGAAAAAGUUCUUCGAAACAAAUUUCAACAUUUGCAGAACAUUUUCAUCAAACUUUUCAACCUAAUGUAAUAACAAUAUGUCUAGCAACAAUAACAAAAUUAACAAGCAAUACUAUCUUUUAUGAAGGAUAAUACAUCACGAUAUGCAGUAUUACAAAGAAAGAAAUAAAACGACUGAUAAUAAUUAAAACUAAAAUCUCCGAGAUUCGAUUUAAUCAGUGGCAAAAUAAUCAAAAAACUUCUGAACGAAGCCAUCAGAAUGAAUACUAUCAUAUUCAACGCCAUUUUCAGAAUCCAGCAUUACCCCAGCUUAUAGAAAUUGUCUAAAAUAAUAAUGGUGUCUAAACCAAAUAAAAACGUACACGAUCUUUAUAGAUAGUAUUAGAAAGACUGGUCUCGUUUUUACUAAUAUUACCUAAGCUAUAUAAAAAAAUCCUUUUAACUAGAAUCAAGGAAAUAAUUAACAGUAAAGAGAUAAUACCAAACCCUUAAUUUGAUUUCAGAGAAAGGAACGCUACAAUCGUAAAAAUAAAUACAGUAUAUGCUUACUUCUACAUAUAGAGAAAACAUUCGACAAGAUCGGGAAUGAAGGUCUCAUGUUAACUAUAAAACAGCACUUUCCAGAUGCAAUCUAUCAACUACUUAAAUCUUAUCUUGAAAAUAGAUUUUUAGGUAAAAAUCAAAAACUCGAUAUAUGAAAUCAUAAAUCCAGGAAUAUCACAAGCAAGUGUAUUGGGACAGACACUUUAGACUUUAUAUGUAAUAAACAUUCAUUCCAACAACCCCAAAUAGCACAACAUGCACAUUUGUGGACGAUACCGGAAUAAUUACAAUUCAUGAAAAUCUAAAUAAAGCAGAUAGAAGAUCAUAUAAAUCUACUGGAGGAAUGACUGAAAAAGAAAAGAAUUAAUGUAAACUAUAAUGUAAUAACACUUAAAUGUAGUUACAUCACUUUUACCCUUCGCAAAGGCAUUAUCUCAGAAAUCAAACUUUACAGGUAAAGAACAUCAGAUAUCUAGGACUCCACGUAGAUGCAAACUUACGUGGAAAAAGCACAUAAAUAAAAAAAUUCAGUGAAUCAGAAUUCUAAGAAAGGGCAUGUGUUGUCUAAUCAACUGCCGUUCGAUACUAAAUACAAACAAUAAAUUAUUAAUCUAUAAAGCCAUAAUAAAAUCUGUCUGAACAUACGGCAAACAAUUAUGGGGUACAUCAGCAAAAGGUCAUGUCAACAAAAUGGAAAUUAUACAAUCAAUCACACUACAUACAGUAGUAGAAGCAUCAUGGUACAUAAAAAACGAAAAACUACGUUGAGACCUACAAAUCCUCAUUGUAAAAGAGGGAAUACAGCAACUUUCCAGCAGCUGCAGAGAGGGAAAAAUAAAUCAUCCAAACCUAUUAGCCAACACCUUGUACACUGUUAACGUCAUGAAAAGAUUGAAGAAAAAAUAAUCAUAGUAUCUAAUAUGGAUACCUGAAUAUGAUCACUGCAUCAGUGCUACUCUAUUGGGCAUAGCACUCAUAUGUUACCCUUAUUUGCUAAUUCAACUAGUCGAAUCUCUCAUUCGACAGAUUGAAGAGACUUUAAUUUGGAGUUAAUAUAAAAAAAAAUAAAUAAAAAA